GUGGGGAAUUUUGGACAAUGGGGGAAACCCUGAUCCAGCCAUGCCGCGUGCAGGAUGAAGGCCUUCGGGUUGUAAACUGCUUUUGUACGGAACGAAAAGGUCCUUUCUAAUAAAGAGGGCUCAUGACGGUACCGUAAGAAUAAGCACCGGCUAACUACGUGCCAGCAGCCGCGGUAAUACGUAGGGUGCGAGCGUUAAUCGGAAUUACUGGGCGUAAAGCGUGCGCAGGCGGUUAUAUAAGACAGAUGUGAAAUCCCCGGGGUCAACCUGGGAACUGCAUUAGUGACUGUAUAGCUGGAGUGCGGCAGAGGGGGAUGGAAUUCCGCGUGUAGCAGUGAAAUGCGUAGAUAUGCGGAGGAACACCGAUGGCGAAGGCAAUCCCCUGGGCCUGCACUGACGCUCAUGCACGAAAGCGUGGGGAGCAAACAGGAUUAGAAACCCUUGUAGUCC
rnacentral:rRNA from 1 species